rnacentral:tRNA from 1 species
CCCUUGGUGGUCCAGUGGUUAAGACUCUGCUCUUCCAAAGCAGGGGGCCUGGGUUCGAUCCCUGGGCGGGGGA